GCCUAAUAUAAACCGAUCUACUCACAUGUGCUUCGGUCCACAUUUUCAUAGCGGUUUCCGGAAGGAUCUCGCAGAGCCCCAGCUCCACAUCUUUGCGUGGGCGGGGGAUCGAUCGCCGGGACGAAAACAACGAAAACAAAUCACAAUUGCACACACAAGUCACUGGUACACACGGACCGUCAGUUUUGUUUUGGCUUUUCUUCGAUUUGGGGCCCCAACUGCCGCCUCUGUUCGAGUGGGAAAUGGAAAAUCGCUGUGCUGUGUGCUAUGGAAAAUUUACGUAUUUUUUGCUCGGGCUCUGUGGCUUGGGCCAAGCGCCUUUGGCGUCGUCGUCGUCGCUGGCGUCUUGUUGUGCGAAGUGCAGGGUUCGUACUGAACGCUUUUCGGCCAGGCCAACCAACAUUCGAAGGCCCGGCUGGCUGGCUGGUUGGCUUACUGGCUGGUAGCGACCAGAGUUACCAUCGAGCCGAGCAGCUAUCGAACAGGAACACGAUGCGCUUCGGCAACCCUGCCACAUGCGCGUUGUUGUUGUCGGCUUUCCGCCUCGUAUUUUCGCAUUUUCAGUUGCGUUGUGGAAAGCCGCCAGGCUGGGACAGAAACGGGCGAAGCCACAAGCCCAAUCCCAAUCCCAAUCCCGAGCCCAGUCCCAUGCUCCUCCAUACUUCCCUCCCCCUUAGGAACUCCCGCCUGGGCGCCCUCGCUGCUUCCUGAACUAUUUUAGUGGCAGCGUCGAACAAACAAAGGCAUCGCAACUUGGUUUGCAGAGCUUUGUUGGAAUUGCUUUGGUUCGGUCAUGUCGCUAGCUUUGGUAGCUUGUUUCAUAACGCCGAUAAUUGUGAUUGGCGCCAAACGGUUUCUAAUCGAUGACCCGAUACUUUUUAAUCGACAGAUCGAUGCUUGCUUGACAGGAAAUGAACCAAAAUUUGACAUUUUACAUUUAUCUUUUAUAAAAAUCACGCAUACGACCCUUAA